GUCUUCACUCCUUCCUGCUACCGCCUUGGAGUGCUGCCAUGGCUGGUUGUCGCCGUCUGUUGCCGGGCGUUGCCCUCGCGGUCCCAGAAUUUCUGUUGCCGGCCCGGCGGGUCACUGCCUCGGCCGCACCUCGCUUCAGUGGUUUGGCCUUGGCGGCGCUCCUCGCCACCCCUUGGUCGAGGCCCGGCGGACUCCGCCCAGUCACAUGCCCAUUCCGUGUGGUGGGGCCUCUUUGGCUUCCCCACUGCAGGCCUUCGCCGUUGCCGAUUCUAGGGGGUGGCGGACUGCCGUGGGUUGUUCCACCUUGGUGCGGCAUGGCGAAGGUUGGAGGACUGCUCUGGGGUAUGGGGGCAAGGCGAAAGCCUCUGCUUGCCUGCGAGCAAAUGAGGGCGAUGCCUUCAGGCGCCGUUUACCUCGUUGGAGGCAUCAUUCUUCUGCCCUCUCCCCUCUUGCGCAGGUGAACUUCUUCGGUGAAAACCCUGACUGUGUCGGUCAGGCGAUGACGGCGACAUUGGCAUCGUAUCCCUCCCUGGAGGCAUCAUCUUGGAAGUUCACGCUGGUGUGCAAAUGUCAUGGUGGUGGUCGUCGUUAACUCUUCACAAGACAAAUUUUCUUCUGCACUUGCCUUCGCUUUGAAUUGUCCAUUGUCGCCUUGGUUGCUUGGACCGCUGUCUUCUGGCAGAUGCUUUGCUGCCAUGGUCAUGUUGUUUGGUGCUUGCCUUGGUGGAUGCUUCGCCAUCCCGGAUGUUGUUGUUGGGUGGAUGCUUUGCCACCGUUUGUGGUACAGGUGGAUGCUUUGCUGCCAUAUUGCUGCUUGGGUGGAUACUUUGCCACCUGGUCGUGGCAGAUACUUUGCCGCCGGUUCUUGUACUCUGGCGGUUGCUUUGCCGUGGUGGUUGCGUUCUUCAAGCUUCUUUGACGAUGGUGUAUCCCUUUUGCAGGCUCAGUUUUUUUGUAACCUUGUUAGGGUGGUUGGGUUGGGUGUGUCCUCCCUUCCCUUCUUGCUGCUGCCUGUUGUUGUUGUUGUUGUUGUGGUUGCGGCUUUUGUUGCUGCCCGCUGUGUGUUGGUUAUACUUUUCUUUAGUGUUUCUUUUUCUUUAGUCCUUUGUGUUCUUGUGUUAGCCAAGUUCUGUUUGGCUGCACCAAGAUUUGUUUGUAAACUGCUUUCUUCUUAAUGAAAUACGUGCUCAGGCACGGCCACAAAAAAAAAGACAGCCUUGGGUCUCGCCUUCUUGCAGCGCCGAUGAAAUCCACCCAUUAGCACAUCCAACAUCUGGGCAUCGUGGCGGUCUAAUUCCAAGCUAUUUGCACCACGCACCUUUACCACAACACGCCCCUUCUAUUGCUGUUUGCCGCCAUGCCAUCACUUCUUGUCACUGGUUUCCCUCUAGCCUAUCCUAGAUUUGUCGCCAUCGUACAUUGUCCCCCAUCACAAAAAAUUCGCUCUCAUUGUCAGUGAUCGCCGUAGUUGAAGAGGAGGAAGAUGGGAGCACAAACAUUGGUGCAAUGGUAAGGUUACUGUCUUCCCCAUUUUAAGCAUCAAGAUUAGCUACUUGAAAAAAUAUGCAUACCCGGUUGCUAUACAAUAUGAUGAUGCUUUAUAGUACAAAUGUACAUAAAAGCAUAAAAGUUAGUAGUGCAUAUGUCAUCCUGGCUGUUCUGCAAACAUUGAUGUAAAAUCCAUGCAUACGAAGUAGGACUGGAGACCAUCCAUGUAAUUAUCGAAAAUGAUCUGUGCCAUGAGUUCUGCCUCUAUCAACCUGAUUGGACUUUUUUUUAAGGGUCAACAGGGGAGAGCAUCUCCGCCUAAUUCAUUUCAUUAUGGCCCCUAACGGCCCGGCAUGAUAAUCGAAGUCUUACAUCAUUUGCAUGGAUUGGCUUGAACAAUAAUAAGUGAACUAUACUAGUCUCUUGGUGCAUAAUUCACUGUCCCCCCUUUUUAUACAUUCUUUUCUCAGUCUCCCUUCAAAUCGGCACAUUUCAUUCAUCUAAAUCCUGACGGUUCUCUAGAGAACAUCCACGUUCCUGCAUUACUCAGAAACCCCACCAUAAUCUGCCAGCUUAUUUUCCAGCCAUAACAAAAGGAGGACUACUUACAUAAACCCAAGACCCAAAGCAAGAUAACAGAGGAUUAAGAUGAGCAAGAUUAACCAAGAAAGCAACCAAAAUGUGAAUAUCAAGUGCGAGGAUACAGAUGAUUGAAAUUUAAUAUGUGAAUCGUUGAAACUGUGGAAACGUCGUACUACAGAGGGUAUUUCUGUUAUCGUGGUGGAAUGGAAGGCCUGUUUUCAGUGCAUUACACAAAUGUGUUUAGGCCCUGUUUAGAUCCUAAAAAAUUUUGCACAGUAUCUGUCACAUCGAAUCUUCGGACACAUACAUGGAGCAUUAAAUGUAGUUGAAAAAAAUAACUAAUUACACAGUUUAACUGA